AGUGAACGCUGGCGGCAGGCCUAACACAUGCAAGUCGAACGGCAGCACAGUAAGAGUUUGCUCUUACGGGUGGCGAGUGGCGGACGGGUGAGGAAUACAUCGGAAUCUACUCUUUCGUGGGGGAUAACGUAGGGAAACUUACGCUAAUACCGCAUACGACCUACGGGUGAAAGCAGUGGAUCUUCGCACCUUGCGCGAUUGAAUGAGCCGAUGUCGGAUUAGCUAGUUGGCGGGGUAAAGGCCCACCAAGGCGACGAUCCGUAGCUGGUCUGAGAGGAUGAUCAGCCACACUGGAACUGAGACACGGUCCAGACUCCUACGGGAGGCAGCAGUAGGGAAUAUUGGGCAAUGGGCGCAAGCCUGAUCCAGCCAUACCGCGUGGGUGAAGAAGGCCUUCGGGUUGUAAAGCCCUUUUGUUGGGAAAGAAAAGCAGCAGGUUAAUACCCCGCUGUUCUGACGGUACCCAAAGAAUAAGCACCGGCUAACUUCGUG
rnacentral:rRNA from 1 species